rnacentral:misc_RNA from 1 species
GAUGAAGAACGUAGCGAAAUGCGAUAAGUAAUGUGAAUUGCAGAAUUCAGUGAAUCAUCGAGUCUUUGAACGCACAUUGCGCCCCCUGGUAUUCCGGGGGGCAUGCCUGUCCGAGCGUCAUUGCUGCCCUCAAGCACGGCUUGUGUGUUGGGCCCCGCCCCCCGGCUCCCGGGGGGCGGGCCCGAAAGGCAGCGGCGGCACCGCGUCCGGUCCUCGAGCGUAUGGGGCUUCGUCACCCGCUCCGUAGGCCCGGCCGGCGCCCGCCGUCGACCCCCCUCAAUCUUUUCAGGUUGACCUCGGAUCAGGUAGGGAUACCCGCUGAACUUAAGCAUAUCAAUAAGCGGAGGA